rnacentral:tRNA from 1 species
GCGCUCGUAGUUCAAUUGGAUAGAAUUUCAAGCUACGGACUUGACGGUUGUGGGUUCGAACCCUGCCGAGCGU